rnacentral:rRNA from 1 species
UACGUAGGGGGCAAGCGUUGUCCGGAAUCAUUGGGCGUAAAGCGCGUGUAGGCGGCUGAGUAAGUCUGCUCUGAAAGCCCGGGGCUCAACCCCGGGAGGCGGGUGGAUACUGCUCAGCUCGAGUCCGGAAGAGGAGAGUGGAAUUCCUGGUGUAGCGGUGAAAUGCGCAGAUAUCAGGAAGAACACCCGUGGCGAAGGCGGCUCUCUGGGACGGUACUGACGCUGAGACGCGAAAGCGUGGGGAGCGAACAGG